CGGGAGCAUCCUGGUGGCGAGUGGCGAACGGCGUGAGUAACAUAUCGGAACGUGCCCAGUAAUGGGGGAUAGCCCGGCGAAAGCCGGAUUAAUACCGCAUACGACCUACGGGUGAAAGCGGGGGAUUGCAAGACCUCGCGUUAUUGGAGCGGCCGAUAUCAGAUUAGCUUGUUGGUGGGGUAAAAGCCCACCAAGGCGACGAUCUGUAGCUGGUCUGAGAGGACGACCAGCCACACUGGGACUGAGACACGGCCCACACUCCUACGGGAGGCAGCAGUGGGGAAUUUUGGACAAUGGGCGCAAGCCUGAUCCAGCCAUGCCGCGUGUGGGAAGAAGGCCUUCGGGUUGUAAACCACUUUUGUCAGGGAAGAAACGGCUCUUACUAAUAUUAGGAGCUAAUGACGGUACCUGAAGAAUAAGCACCGGCUAACUACGUGCCAGCAGCCGCGGUAAUACGUAGGGUGCAAGCGUUAAUCGGAAUUACUGGGCGUAAAGCGUGCGCAGGCGGUUUUGCAAGACAGAUGUGAAAUCCCCGGGCUCAACCUGGGAACUGCAUUUGUGACUGCAUGGCUAGAGUACG
rnacentral:rRNA from 1 species